rnacentral:rRNA from 1 species
GGAAUAUUGGACAAUGGGGGCAACCCUGAUCCAGCCAUGCCGCGUUCGUGAAGAAGGCCUUAGGGUUGUAAAGCGCUUUCACUGGCGAAGAUGAUGACGGUAGCCAGAGAAGAAGCCCCGGCUAACUCCGCGCCAGCAGCCGAGGUAAUACGGAGGGGGCACGCGUUGUUCGGAAUUACUGGGCGUAAUGGGCGCGUAGGCGGAACAUUAAGUUAGGGGUGAAAGGCCUGGGCUCAACCUGGGAACGGCCUCUAAGACUGAUGAUCUUGAGUCCGGAAGAGGAUGGCGGAAUUCCCAGUGUAGAGGUGAAAUUCGUAGAGAUUGGGAAGAACACCGGUGGCGAAGGCGGCCAUCUGGUCCGGUACUGACGCUGAGGCGCGAAAGCGUGGGGAGCAAAC